CUCACCAUUACACCCCCACUAAUUCACUCAACCCUCACUUCUCUCUACCCUACUCAGACUUCCCCAACUCCCAACACUGUCACUCUCUCUCAUCCCUCACUACUCUUUACCUCUCCCAUCUGUCCCCCCUCUGCAACUCUCCUUCUCCCUCUCAGCAAAACCGAGAACCACCACCGUAAUCCCUUGUGCUUUUGCGCUGAUUCCAGUUUUUUAGUGAUUUCUAAGAAACGCAGUGUACGAUACCUGUUCCGGCCUGAUUUGAAGAAGAUUUCUCAAGCGACUGUAAUUUCAUGGGAAGUUGGCUUAAAGCAGUUCCAAAAUUUGGGAUUGUUUGGGAUAUUUUUAGGUUUUUCUGAUUCUUGAAAAAAACCAUGGUUAAGAGUAAAUUAAUUAUGUUUUAAUUUUCAUUUAAUUCAGGUAACUGUCUUUAGUUUUUUGGUUUGAACGCCUAGAACCAGUGAUCUUUGAAAAAGAUCAAAGGGGUCAAGCAGUGGAGGAGUGGGUUAAUAGUUAUGUGUUCUGCUUGAUAAUUGUAUGUGUUUAUGCCCUCAAGAAUUUGGGAGAUAUCAUGGGAUUGUUUGUGAUCUGAUUAAAUACAAAUGUUAUUUUAUACAAAUGUUAUUUGGGUAAAUCUUGGUAUAAGUGUUAUACAAAUGUUAUUUUAUAACAACUGUAUGUAAGUCUAUUCUACUUGAGAUUCUAACAUGAAAAACUCCACAUAAUAAGACUGCAGCAGCUGCAGCUCCACCAUUAUUUCUGAAAAAUUAGGUAAAAAAUCUCCUCUGCAAUUUUUUAUUUAUUUAUUUUUAACAAUGAACCAAUGAAUGCACAAAAAAGUUUAGCAUGCUCUGAUUUUUGUCUUUUGAUAGCACAUAUUUACUAAGUCAAUUACCUGCUUUGCAACAGCUUCUUUCUUGCCUUCUUGAUUGCCAGGUACGGAUGCAUGCAUUAUAAUUAUGUUUUUGUAGUUUAAUUAUCCUCUUUGAAAUUUCUAUCAAAAUAUUCAUUUUUCCUGCGUUUUGAAGUUGAAUAGUGUAGUUUUUGGAGUGAACAUAAUUUCAUGUACAAGUCACUUGCUUUUCAUUUUUCAGUUUCUGUUCUGUUAAUGUCAGAUGCUUCAAGAAGCACUUCUAUGUUUUUUUAAGGGAGCAUUUGGUCCUUGGUAGAAACUUCAAACAUGUUUUAAGUAAAAACAUUUCUAGCAAAAGCGCUUGAAAGUAUAAGUGCUUCUUAUAGAAGAGCUUUCAAACGACUAAUAAGCCCUUUGUUUCAUUGCAAUUGAAGAUUUGGUUUUGGAUUUCAGGUCAAGAUCUCUGAGUACAUUGAGAAUAAGUGUGUGAUUCUCUUUUUUUUUACGCAUUUGACGUCACAUUUGUUUGUCCUAUAGGUAAGCAUGUUUUCGUAAUCAGCAUAUCUGCGUUGUGCAUGUUUUCGUAAUCAGCAUUUCUGCAUUGUAACACAUUUAGUCCAUUCUUCUAACAGUUAUACUUUGUGUAAAUAGUUUUUACAUAUAUAGGCACAAAGCUUAUAACACAUUUAGUCCAUUAUUCUAACAGUUAUAUACAAUACUGAUAAUCUAUUUCACAUUCCCACGGCAACGUGCAAGUUAUCUAUAUAUACGAAUUUAAUAAGCAAUGGCCAUUAUCUAAAAUUUGGGACUGAUCAUAAAAAAGGUUGUUACUUUUUAUAAUAGGAACAUAGAGGAACAAAAAUCAACUUUCAUUUUCCAACGACUGACUCCAACUUUGUUGUGUUGUUCUCAAUUUUAAUCUUCUAUCUACUUGAAUCUAUUUUUUUAAGCCUAAUUAGUUCAUGCACUUAUCGUUUAAAUAUGCUAAAUCCUUUAUAUUUAAAAUUUUGUGUGUUGAAUAUCAAGAUAGAGAGACUUUUCUCCGAAACACCGUCUGUCCAUUAACCACACAUAUGUUCAGUUAUCUCAUUGUUAUCAUCCAUAGUUCAAACCACACAUAAUAUAAAAUUUGACAUAAACUUUACAUGUUUGGUUAAUAAUGCCUAAUGUUUUCGUCAAUGCAGGACCUGGUAAGCCAACAGUUUUCAACUGCGAGACGAUGCAUUAACUAAUAGGCGUAUGAAAAGAUUACAAGGAUUGUGUUCAGGUAGGAAUUUCGCUGGGAAGGGUCUCUGGCUCGAGCACACAGCUCCCCAAGGAGUUGGCAUUUUGGUUUUUUUUUUUCAGGCUCCUGUUUGUCGGGAUGCUACAAAAGGAGGACACGGUUAGUUCUGACAGGUACCUUUGUAGGGCCUUAGGUGUAGGCCUUGAGGCUCAUAAUCAAAACUAACUGAGUGCAGAGGCGUGCCACUGCCAUCUCUAUAUGAUAGAUGUAGAACAAGUGUAUUUAAGUCGAUUACUUGCGUCCCAAGUUAUUCUGACUUCUUGUUAUCAAAGGAUUGUCGUGGAUGGGUUAAGUCCACAUUAAGUUCUUUUCUAUACCUUGAGACCAAGGAUUUUUAGUUUGUUAUGUUUUAUGCUUAGAGGGUGAAGGUCCAUAUCUGAUUAAGUCACCAGUUUGGUUCCCAUUUAGCCUUUUUAAUGAUGGUAAACCACUAACUAAGCUAGAUCUGAGCACUGAUGGGACUUUGGAUCGUCAAAAGACUAGAAACGACUUGAACAUAUAUUGGGAAAUACAUUGUAACACCAGAUUUAUUGAUUUAAAGGCAAAACAAAGAGAAUUGGGUAAGCUUUCACCUUGUCGGGCAAGGUCUAAACGUCUUGUGGUCUCUUCUCCUUGUGGUUACAAUGGAUCGAGUACUAAAAUGGGGCAAAAGAUGAACAAAUUUACAUGAGAGAAUCAAUACUACAACAUUUGGAAAAGGUAGUAGAGCUUUUACACUAGACAAAAAAUGUCUUUCUAAGGGGAAUCUAUGGCUAAAAGGGUGCAGAGUCUAGACAAAGUACAGCUUUCUGGGUAUUUGCUUGAUUGAGAGGUAAGUUGUAUAUUUGCUUGUUUGAUUGAUUAAGUGUCCUUAUCUCUGGGUCCUCUUCCUCUAUUUAUAGACGAAUUAGCCCUACUGCCUGUAGCUUUAUUCUUGCCCAAAAGCAAUUGAAGGGUAGUGAGUCAUCAAUAUUUUACUUGUAUUGCCACUAAAAAGUACUUUUGGGCUGAGAGUAGGUUGAUUUCCAUCAGUUCUCACUUCUCUUGCAAGCACCUUGCCUUAGCAUUAAUGGGGAAGCACCAAUUGGUCUUGACAUGGACGGUUUGGGCUUGGUGCUAGGCUUUAAGUAAGCCUCAUUUCUUUAAUCUUUUUGGGCCCUUCUUCCUUUUGGCCCAAAGUUCAAAUGUUAACCCAAACAGUGCCCCCUUUAAUCAUUGUUAAGUUGGCAUCUCGAGACGCUAAUAAUGAUUAAACCGACAUGCAUCUUCCUCGAAACUUUCAUUAAUUAAAACAAUUAGUGCAUUUCCAGACCCUUGUGCUAACCCACGAAUCAUAUCUCUAAGUUGAUUGUCCACUAUAAAUUUCCUACUCGACUACUUGGUUAAACACCUUAAUAACUUUAAGCUUUGAAUUUCCUAAUUUUCUCAAAAUUUUCAGAACCUUCAUAUUUUCCAGAAAAUCCUCCUUAAUUUUUACAACUCUUGAUGGCACCUUGAGUUUGAACUCAGCCCUUUUGUGAGAUUGGUGAGGAGAUUUCCACCAUUUGCCACUUGUUAUAUGGCCCUCACCGCCUAUGUACUGAGUUUUUCUUUGAUAAGGGGUGGGUGCUUUCUUUGGGACCUGCAUGGAUAUUUCAGGCUUCAGUAGCUGCAAAAAGCGACAUGCUUAAGGCUAAUCCUAGCUUUUGCAUUCUUGGUCACUUCAUUAUCAUAGGUGUAUGCUUUGGGAUCAAUAUCAAAGUUUCUAGGAGGACCAUCAUCAGCCCAAGCCUCAUUCUCAAGCGUCAAAGUAUCCAUCAGCUUUUCAUUGAUUCAAAUGAUGGGUUCAACCAUGAGAUCAGUAAUGGGCCUCAACCUCAGUAUCUGCCCCUAAAUUUUCCAUUCCACAGAGGCUUGAGUGCACACACAUAGCUUUAUGGGCCCUUUAAGCAUGGAUGCAGAGGGAUUUUAUUGCUUCAGAUAAGCUAAGUAGAAUCUUCAUUUUUACGCCAGCACACCGUCUUAGGAUAGUUGCUUCAGAUGAGCUGAGUAGAAUCUCCAUGUAACUUCAUCAUUUAAUGAAAUGAAAAUGUCGUUUUUCUGUA